UACGUAGGGGGCAAGCGUUGUCCGGAAUCAUUGGGCGUAAAGAGCGUGUAGGCGGCCUGAUAAGUCGGCUGUGAAAGUCAAGGGCUCAACCCUUGAAUGCCGGCCGAUACUGUCAGGCUAGAGUCCGGAAGAGGCGAGUGGAAUUCCUGGUGUAGCGGUGAAAUGCGCAGAUAUCAGGAGGAACACCUAUGGCGAAGGCAGCUCGCUGGGACGGUACUGACGCUGGAGACGCGAAAGCGUGGGGAGCGAACAGG
rnacentral:rRNA from 1 species